GGGUACGGGGAUUAGGGUUCGAUUCCGGAGAGGGAGCCUGAGAAACGGCUACCACAUCCAAGGAAGGCAGCAGGCGCGCAAAUUACCCAAUCCCGACACGGGGAGGUAGUGACAAUAAAUAACAAUACGGGGCUCAUUUGGGUCUCGUAAUUGGAAUGAGUACAAUUUAAAUCUCUUAACGAGGAACAAUUGGAGGGCAAGUCUGGUGCCAGCAGCCGCGGUAAUUCCAGCUCCAAUAGCGUAUAUUAAAGUUGUUGCAGUUAAAAAGCUCGUAGUUGAACUUCGGGGUUUACUCAUUGGUCAGGCUUAAUUGUCUGUACUGGUGAGAUGAAUCUCUACCUUCUGAGGAACUUUCAUGACAUUUAUUUGGUGUGAUUGGAAAUCAGGACUGUUACUUUGAAAAAAUUAGAGUGUUUAAAGCAGGCUAACGUCUGAAUACAUUAGCAUGGAAUAAUGAAAUAGGACGGAUUGAUUCUAUUUCGUUGGUUUCUAGGAUCACCGUAAUGAUUAAUAGGGAUAGUUGGGGGCAUUAGUAUUCAAUUGUCAGAGGUGAAAUUCUUGGAUUUAUUGAAGACUAACUACUGCGAAAGCAUUUGCCAAGGAUGUUUUCAUUAAUCAAGAACGAAAGUUAGGGGAUCGAAGACGAUCAGAUACCGUCGUAGUCUUAACCAUAAACUAUGCCGACUAGGGAUCGGACGAAGUUAAUUAAUAAUGACGCGUUAGCACCUUACGGGAACAG
rnacentral:rRNA from 1 species